rnacentral:ncRNA from 1 species
CGAUCUCAUGUGGGAGAGCUCGCACCGUGCGUGCGGCGCCGAAGGGGCAAUUCCUCCCCGGAACCUCUCAGGCACCCAGGACCACGUGGAGCAG